UCUUCAACCGUCACAAAGCCCUUUUUCUCCUUAUCUAGAUAUUUGGCGAACAACUUUACCGGGUCACGCUUCAACUUUCUCUCGUCAUCUUCCUCAAGCUCGAAUGUUUCAUCGAUGAAACGUUGAAAAAGAUCAGCGGUCUCGUUCUCACACCCGUCAGCCUCGAAGGUGUUGUCAACGGAAGCCGUGAAGAGCAUGGUUGCGGAGAUGCUGCGCCCGUACGAGCGAACCUGAUGGAUGUAGCCUGGACAAAAAAGGGGAGAAGAAAUUAGCAGGCAUCGACCAGAUAGAGAUGAACAGGCGUGUCCCCUGGUGGGAGGGGGUGAGCAGUCAUAGGUAUCAUAUGAAAAAAGCAUAGUAUUUAACGAUGUUUUAAAGAAUGUCCAUCACCCACUCCUUUGUUUAUCAUUGAAAAAACGGAUUUAUUCGCAAGGAAACUUCAAAAUAACAGUUUAAUAAUGAAGUCUAAUAUGUUAUUAUUAAGUAUAUUUGAAUGAAAAUAUCUUGGUUACUUUCUUGAAUUAGCCGAUGGAAAUGGAUGCUUUGUGUGACUCGCCAAUGAGCAGGAGCAUAAAAUGUUGGCAUAGUUGCCCUCUUUGAAUAAUUAAUGACCCACUUUUUGGCUGCCAAGUGGGCCUGUUUAUGUGUCUGAUAAGUGGACGAGUCAUACAGACAGUGGGUGAUAUAGGAAGUUGUGGUAAGGCAAUAAAUUAGAGUGCUUUCUAUUAGCAUACCUGAUGGUAGAAAGAUGCAAUCGCCAUCAUUGAUAGUAGCAUAUGUCCAUUCCACAUCACUUAUGUUUGGGUACAAAUCCAGGUUGAUUUCAUCAGGGUUCACCAUAGAGAAACCAGAUCCAAAUUGUGGAAACUGAAAAAAGCCCUUGGUUACCAAAUUAUAAAACAUUGGUGUUGGAGAUCUCUGCAGUGAGAGUGGGAAAUCAUCCCCAAUGCCUUAAUAUCUUGUCUCACACUACCUCUAGGCAUUAAGCAGUAUGUAUUUGGUACAGUAGCUUACCCAAUCAGAAAGAACAUAUUUUACAAAGGACUGGCAUCCAACAGGCCAAUUUUACAUACAUUCCACAUAGCUACCAACCUUUGUCAAGGUUGACACUUGCUUGUUUAUUCUCCCAAAAAUGCAAACAUUUGAUAAACUAGUCAUAUUUGUAUUUUGAGGGCGGCGAAGUGGUCCCAAAAGUGGGGGAAGGGGGGAGUGCUAAGUUGAAUUUUAUUCUGGUUAAAAAAUUUCAACCUUCCCCCCAAUCUAAACCACAAAAAUGGUGACCCUCCCCCAAAAAGGCCACCAAAUAAUAUGGCCCUCCACCAAAACAAACAAAAAAUAAAAAAAGGGUACUGGUUUCUUUAUUGAAAUUAUACUCUUGUUUUGAGAUGCCCUGUGUACAGCACGUUCUUACAGGAGCACCAGGCAUAGCAAAUUCAAUACAAUAGGAGUGUAGAAUGUAGAGUGUAGAGUUUCGAAAAUUUUGAAAUUCCACACUCUUAGGAUGCUUGGAAAUUGAUCAGAAUACCUGUUAAAAAAAAAAAAGGCCCUCCCCUAAACCCUGUAUCAAAAUUUGAGGCCCUCCCCUAAAUCAACGCUCAAAAAAUAGCAGCCGUCCCCGCCAUUGAAUAAUCACCCUUCCAUUGAAAUUCUCACCUUCCCAAGUUUUAGCUGCUGCUUGAACUUCUGAUGAAUCAUGAUGAAGUCUUUUCUCCCUGCCAUCAUGCAGUGGAUGUUGUGAUCAGCAUCGUAGUGAAUAACAGAGCGUGUCCCCCCAGAACCAAUCCACAGAUUAGUCUCGUGUAGGAAUUUAGCAAACGUGCCACACAUGAUAGCAGGGGGGACCUGAAAUAUUUUACAAAAGUCAGUUUUACCAGUAAAGUGUCAUUAAAACUCAAAGUAGUGUAUAAUGCAACCCAUUGAUUUGCUCCCUUAUUAGUAUAACUUAUAAGUAUUUAACAAAAUUUUCUUUUCCUUGCUAUUUCAAAGGAAAAAUGAACACACCAUGGCUAAUUACAUAUCUUGUACAAAUAAUGAGGUUCAGCAUAAAACCCUGUGUUUUUUACCAAAAGGCACAUGCAUUCUUAUAAACAGCAUUCCAAAUAAAAGAUGAUGCAACAGAUUUUUUUACACUCUGACUGAGGAUCAAGGUAUUUUAAUUGGCUUGAUAAUAAUUGAUAAACUCAACAGUCUUGGUAUAAAAGGCAUACUGAUAA